rnacentral:rRNA from 1 species
UACGAAGGGGGCUAGCGUUGCUCGGAAUCACUGGGCGUAAAGCGCACGUAGGCGGAUUGUUAAGUCAGGGGUGAAAUCCUGGAGCUCAACUCCAGAACUGCCUUUGAUACUGGCGGUCUCGAGUCCGGGAGAGGUGAGUGGAACUGCGAGUGUAGAGGUGAAAUUCGUAGAUAUUCGCAAGAACACCAGUGGCGAAGGCGGCUCACUGGCCCGGUACUGACGCUGAGGUGCGAAAGCGUGGGGAGCGAACAGG